UCCCUGCUGGCUAAGAUGGUAAAGAAUCUGCCUGCAGUGCAGGAAACCUGGGUUCAAUCCCUAGGUCAGGAC
rfam:Ovis aries breed Texel chromosome 14, whole genome shotgun sequence.